rnacentral:piRNA from 1 species
UCCUCAAGUCACGGGCCAUGACUCAACUCC